GUCAUUCAGAUGCAGGCAAGCGGCUCGCUUGUGCCUUGUCUGCUUAUAGAACAAAAGCGUGCAGCACAUUCAAGCAUCCCUGAACCCCUAGGGAAAGGCUGUCAGUGGUCACAGCACAUGAAUAUCAAAGAAUCCUCCCUCUGCAGGUGGACUGUCACAGUGCGGUCUCAUCUCCUGGACUUCCGGUUGGCCUUUGAAGCUGAUGGCUACAAAGACGUGGAUGAAUUUGAAAAACGCUUUCCACUACAGAAGUUACCCCACUCCCAGUGUGUCCAUCAUUUCUCUGGAAGGAUCUGAGAGUGGCUGAGAUCCUGAAGGCCAAAAGCAAAGAGACCUGACUGACACUGUCCAGGAACCCACCUGAAAUAAUGGAUCCUUCGGAGACACCAGAAGCCCUUUCCAUUUCAGUUUCAGUUUUAAAUUGUUACACUGUCCACCAAUCUGCUGAUAAAACACAAUAAUGUGAUUUAUCUCUGAGAACAGUAGCAACAUCUCAACAAAUUGGAUUUGCUUUAUCUUCUUGUUUAAAAAAAAAUGUUGUUCAGGGUUUUCUUUGAAGAUGUCCUUUUCAAAACAUUGUCCUCCUGAUAACUUGAGAUGACUUUGAGGGGGAGAAAGCGAGAGGGAAAGAGAAUUUAACUUACAUUCCCUACCCCUUCUGAUGCUGAGAAAGACAUGUCUACCCCACCCUCUCCCUAGAACCUUGCUGAGCUGCCUCUACCCCUUUCCCCUUUGUUUCUAUACUAAGUACAGAUCUAGUUUCUAGAGGGGUAGCCCUGAUAUCAAAUGAUUAGGCACUCCUCUUCCCUCCU